rnacentral:rRNA from 1 species
GACGAACGCUGGCGGCGUGCUUAACACAUGCAAGUCGAACGCAGUGGCGAACGGGUGAGUAACGCGUAAUCAACCUGCCCUUCAGAGGGGGACACCAGUUGGAAACGACUUCUAAUCCCGCAUACUGAAGGAGGGGCUUGCGUCUGAUUAGCUAGUUGGAGGGGUAACGGCCCACCAAGGCGAUGAUCAGUAGCCGGUCUGAGAGGAAGAACGGCCACAUUGGGACUGAGACACGGCCCAGACGCCUACGGGAGGCAGCAGGUGGGAAUCUUCCGCAAUGGACGAAAGUCUGACGGAGCAACGCCGCGUGAGUGAUGACGGCCUUCGGGUUGUAAAGCUCUGUUAAUCGGGACGCGGUACCGGAAUAGAAAGCCACGGCUAACUACGUGCCAGCAGCCGCGGUAAUUC